rnacentral:lncRNA from 1 species
AACCAAGUGAAUUAAUAAUUUAAAUGCAUUCAUUUCCACUUCCGUGUUGUGCAGAGUGAGCCGGAAGAAAUGCCUCCAGAAGCGAAGAUGAGGAUGAAGAACAUCGGAAGGGACACGCCAACAUCAGCCGGACCAAACUCCUUUAAUAAAGGAAAGCAUGGCUUUUCCGAUAACCAGAAGCUGUGGGAGCGAAAUAUCAAAUCUCAUCUUGGAAACGUCCACGACCAAGACAAUUAAGAGAAGUGUUCUGAGAUUGGGGUGUGGGCGGGUGCAUUAGAAGGAGCAGUCAGCCUCCUUUUUGUAAAGAAUGGUGUAAGACUAGCUUUGGAGCCGUUUUUCUUUCUUCUUUUUUCUUUUCCUUUUUUCUUUUUUUUUUUUUAAGAUUGAGUGGUACACUAAUAAAUGAGAGUUUGCAAUUAGAGGUAAUUUAUGUUUUAUAUACAGAUUUCAAGACAUUUGCUAAUUUUGUAGUUUCACAUGAUUAGUUUCCAAGGGUUACAGAUAAUAAAGAAAUCAGAAGUGGUACCUUUCUAAGAAUUGCAUAUUUUUUUAGACACAACUAUUAGCACAUUAAGAGGGAAGCCAAAAGUUAUUGCCUACUUCAAAGUGAAAGCAGUUCCUCUCCUGACUUCUCCCCCACAUUACCUGACUGUCUGUCUGGCUCCCUGGAACAGCCUUACGAGAGGGAAUUGGAUUGAGAAGACAAUUGUUACUGGACUAUUGACUGAAAGUAAAUUUAGAUACAAUUAAAAUAAACCUUUUCCUAUGGGCAUUUCACCUUGUUCUGGGCCAUUAUAUGCUAGUACUGCUUCGCUAUCAGUACAGACGCUUUGCUCUUUAAAAACUUUUUUCGUUAAAAAUUCUUGUAU